rnacentral:lncRNA from 1 species
AAACUUCAAAUACCCCCUUUAGUUUUACAUUUUUUUUAUUUUACUAUCCUAUGAUUUAAAGUAUGUCACGUUCAUUCCUAUGAUUUCGUACUUUUUUACUUUAGUACUAUGUAGUUUAAAGUAUAUCGAGUCAGUACCAUGUGGUUUCAUUUUUUUUAUUUUAUUAUCUAUUUCACUAAUUUUUUUCGUUAAAUUAGUGAUAAAGUUAAAAUUAAAGGGUACUAAAAUAAAUAUUCGAUAAACCUAGAUUAGAUAUUUGAAAUUUUUUGUAUAUAAUUUAACGAAAUAUUAACGGUAGAAAAAAAUCGGUGAAAAGUUAAAACUAAAGGAUACUAAAGUAAAUAUUCGAUAAACCUAGGUAGGAUAUCUGAAGUUUUUUGUAUAUAAUUUAACGAAAUAUUAACAAAGGAGCCGGCGAAAAAAGAAAAAUGAAACCACAGGGUACUAAAUUGAUGCACUUUAAACCACAGGGUACUAAAGUGCGAAACCACAGGUUACUAAAUUGAUAUACUUUAAACCACGGAGUACUAAAGUGAAAAAGUACGAAGCUACAGAGGUGGUAUUUAAAGUUUUUCCUAAAUUUUUUACUCAUUGGAUAAAAAUUUGGAGGGUUGGGAACUUGGGAUGGAGGAAUGGUUAAUAAAAUUGUGUGAUCUAACGGAUAAAAAUAAUUCAAAAAUAAAUUAAACGAUAAAAAAUUUAUAAAUAUUAAGUGCUCAGUACUUUUCAAAACACUAUCUACAAAUACAAUAUCUUAGCUCUUCCAAACACAAAGGAGUAAAUUGCACUAUUAGUUCCUUAAUAACUUUUUCACUCAAGUUUUGAUUCGAAAAACGAAUAGAAAAAAUUAUUUUUCGGAUAAAAAUUACUUUUUUAACUACAAAUUUAUAAAAAUAUUAAAGUUUUUAUUUUUCAUCAUUUUUUGCUUAGUAAAUUUUUUUUCAAUUAUUUUUUUUUACCGAAUCAAAUAAAUAUGAAUUUUUUUCUUUCAACCAAAUAAACAUUGAUGAAUUUUUUUUUCCCUACAAAUUAGACACUACAAAAUGUAAAAUUUUUUUCCAAAAAAAGUCUUUUUACGAAAAAUUAUUUUUCCAGAUUUUACGUUGAACAAAAUAAAAACUUAGAAUCCAAAUAAAAUUUAGUGAUUUUGAUAAUUGUUAUUUGUUUUAUAAGAAAUAAUAUGUUUUAGAGAUAAUCUUAAGGUGGAAAAAGACAAAUGCAUAAAUGUGUAAAAAUUUAGAAAAAAAUAUUAAUAACAAAACUUUAAUAACUAAAAUUUUUAAAGUGUNCGGCGGCGGCGGCGGAGGAAGGGGGAGGAGGAGAGAAGAGGAGGACGAAGAAGAUGUAAACCAUUUUCCGCUGCUAUACAAAUCCAAAGAAUUUACCUCUUACGCUUUUAAGUUUACCAACUUAUCAGUGCUGGUAAAUUUUUGGGUAAACUUAAAAUACCCCCUUAUUUUAUUUACAUUUUCUUAUUUUUCUAUCCCGUAGUUUAAACUGUAUCACGUUCAUUCCUGUGAUUUCGUACUUUUUUUAUUUUAGUAUCUUGUAGUUUAAAGUAUAUCAAGUAUAUCAAAUUAGUACCCUAUGGUUUCAUUUUUCUUAUUUUAUUAUCUAUUUCACUAAUUUUUUUCGUUAAAUUAGUGAUAAAGUUAAAAUUAAAGAAUACUAAAGUAAAUAUUCGAUAAACCUAGAUGAGAUAUCUGAAGUUUUUUGUAUAUAAUUUAACGAAAUAUUAACGGUGGAAAAAAAUUGGUAAAAAGUUAAAACUAAAAGGUACUAAAGUAAAUAUUCGAUAAACCUAGGUAGGAUAUCUAAAGUUUUUGUAUAUAAUUUAACGAAAUAUUAACGAAUGAGCCGGCGAAAAGAGAAAAAUGAAACCACAGGAUACUAAAUUGAUGCACUUUAAACCACAGGGUACGAAAGUGCGAAACCACAGGUUACUAAAUUGAUAUACUUUAAACCACAGAGUACUAAAGUGAAAAAAUACGAAGCUACAGAGGUGGUAUUUAAAGUUUUUCCUAAAUUUUUUACUCAUUGGAUAAAAAUUUGGAAUGUUGGGAACUUGGGAUGGAGGAAUGGUUAAUAAAAUUAUGUGAUCUAACGGAUAAAAAUAAUUAAAAAAUAAAUUUAACGAUAAAAAAUUUAUAAAUAUUAAGUGCUCAAUACUUUUCAAAACACCAUAGCCAAACUCUAAGGGCGUGUUUGGUUCGCUUUUUUUUCACCCUGCAAUCGGAAUCAGAAUUGGUGAAUCGGUUUGUGGGUGUUUGGUACGCAGGAGUCCCUUUCCGAUUCUGAUUUCCGAGUGGAAUGGGAAUCCCCUAAUCACCCAUUUUUUCAAUUCGGCCUAGGAGGCCGGAUUGAAAGUUGAAUUCGGACGGAAUGAAUAUUUAUUCGGAUUAAAUUUAUUUUUUCAACUUUUUUAAUUAAAAUAUGAGUUAAAAUUUAGAAAUUAAAUUUUAAAUUUUAAAUUUUAAUUUGAAUUUGAAUUAAAAAAUUAAAAUUU